CCUACGGGUGGCAGCAGUGGGGAAUAUUGCACAAUGGGGGAAACCCUGAUGCAGCAACGCCGCGUGAGUGAUGACGGCCUUCGGGUUGUAAAGCUCUAUCUUCAGGGACGAUAAUGACGGUACCUGAGGAGGAAGCCCCGGCUAACUACGUGCCAGCAGCCGCGGUAAUACGUAGGGGGCGAGCGUUGUCCGGAUUUACUGGGCGUAAAGGGAGCGUAGGCGGACUUUUAAGUGUGAUGUGAAAUACCCGGGCUCAACUUGAGUGCUGCAUUGCAAACUGGAAGUCUAGAGUGCAGGAGAGGAGAAUGGAAUUCCUAGUGUAGCGGUGAAAUGCGUAGAGAUUAGGAAGAACACCAGUGGCGAAGGCAGCUUACUAAACUGCCACUGACAUUGAUGCUCGAAAGUGUGGGUAUCAAACAGGAUUAGAUACCCGAGUAGUC
rnacentral:rRNA from 1 species